rnacentral:misc_RNA from 1 species
GAUGAAGAACGUAGCGAAAUGCGAUAAGUAAUGUGAAUUGCAGAAUUCAGUGAAUCAUCGAAUCUUUGAACGCACCUUGCGCUCCUUGGCAUUCCGAGGAGCAUGCCUGUUUGAGUGUCAUUAAAUUCUCAAGACCUGUCUGCUUUUUUGAUAGGUAUUGGAUUUUGGGGGUUGCAGGCUGUUUCAAAUAAAUAGCCUUGCUCUCCUUGAAUGUAUUAGUGGAGAAAAGCCAUUGAACUCCAUUGGUGUGAUAAAACCUAUCAAUGCCAGGAGCAAUAUCACUACUUCUCUCUGCUGUCUAACUGUGACUGUCUGUAUUAAUUAGUAUGGAUGGGGACAACUAGACCAACUUGACCUCAAAUCAGGUAGGACUACCCGCUGAACUUAAGCAUAUCAAUAAGCGGAGGA